rnacentral:rRNA from 1 species
AUACGGAGGGUGCAAGCGUUACUCGGAAUCACUGGGCGUAAAGCGCGCGCAGGCGGUCUUUUAAGUUGGAUGUGAAAGCCUACGGCUCAACCGUAGAACUGCAUCCAAAACUAUUAGACUAGAGUGUGGGAGAGGAAGAUGGAAUUAGUUGUGUAGGGGUAAAAUCCGUAGAGAUAACUAGGAAUACCAAAAGCGAAGGCAAUCUUCUGGAACACUACUGACGCUGGGGCGCGAAAGCGUGGGGAGCAAACAGGAUUAGAAACCCCGGUAGUCC